rnacentral:rRNA from 1 species
UACGGAGGAUGCGAGCGUUAUCCGGAUUUAUUGGGUUUAAAGGGUGCGUAGGCGGACUGUCAAGUCAGCGGUAAAAUUGAGAGGCUCAACCUCUUCCCGCCGUUGAAACUGGUGGUCUUGAGUGGAUGAGAAGUACGCGGAAUGCGUGGUGUAGCGGUGAAAUGCAUAGAUAUCACGCAGAACUCCGAUUGCGAGGGCAGCAUACCGGCGCCCUACUGACGCUGAGGCACGAAAGCGUGGGUAUCGAACAGG